rnacentral:rRNA from 1 species
AACCAACAGGGAUUGCCUUAGUAACGGCGAGUGAAGCGGCAAAAGCUCAAAUUUGAAAUCUGGCACCUUCGGUGUCCGAGUUGUAAUUUGUAGAAGGUAACUUUGGAAUUGGCUCUUGUCUAUGUUCCUUGGAACAGGACGUCACAGAGGGUGAGAAUCCCGUGCGAUGAGAUGUCCAAUUCUAUGUAAAGUGCUUUCGAAGAGUCGAGUUGUUUGGGAAUGCAGCUCUAAGUGGGUGGUAAAUUCCAUCUAAAGCUAAAUAUUGGCGAGAGACCGAUAGCGAACAAGUACAGUGAUGGAAAGAUGAAAAGAACUUUGAAAAGAGAGUGAAAAAGUACGUGAAAUUGUUGAAAGGGAAGGGCUUGAGAUCAGAUUGGUAUUUUGCGUUCCUUCCUCUCGUGGGUUGGUUCCUCGCAGUUUACCGGGCCAACAUCGGUUUGGAUGGUAGGAAAAUGACAGUUGAAUGUAGCACUACUUCGGUGGUGUAUUAUAGCUUCUGUUGAUACUGCCUGUCUAGACCGAGGACUGCGUCUUUGACUAGGAUGUUGGCAUAAUGAUCUUAAGUCGC